rnacentral:rRNA from 1 species
GGUGAACGCUGGCGGCGUGCCUAAGACAUGCAAGUCGAGCGGGCCGCGGGGUUUUACUCCGUGGUCAGCGGCGGACGGGUGAGUAACGCGUGGGUGACCUACCCGGAAGAGGGGGACAACCCGGGGAAACUCGGGCUAAUCCCCCAUGUGGACCCGCCCCUUGGGGUGUGUCCAAAGGGCUUUGCCCGCUUCCGGAUGGGCCCGCGUCCCAUCAGCUAGUUGGUGGGGUAAUGGCCCACCAAGGCGACGACGGGUAGCCGGCCUGAGAGGGUGGCCGGCCACAGGGGCACUGAGACACGGGCGCUACUCCUACGGGAGGCAGCAGUUAGGAAGCUGCCGCAAUGGGCGCAAGCCUGACGGAGCGACGCCGCUUGGAGGAAGAAGCCCUUCGGGGUGUAAACUCCUGAACCCGGGACGAAACCCCCGACGAGGGGACUGACGGUACCGGGGUAAUAGCGCCGGCCAACUCCGUG